CGAAUCAUAUACUACCGUAACAUGGUGAGAGAGGGGGCCGACGAUGCGGUGGGCGUCUGCCGGUGCGCCUGGUGCAGGAGAAGGCAGAGGACUUGCGUCGCCGAGUCAUCAAACGCAUCUCUUGCCGCAAUCGGUGCAUCGAGAACAGAUGGGCUGUUAUGGUGCGUCAUAGGGGAGGGGCGAGUGGGGGAGGGGAGCGAUCGUGCCUUGUUGUGCGUCGCGCGACACUCGGCGCGCGUGACUUUGGGACACGACGCCGUGAACAGCGAGAGCUAGAGGCGUUUGUGGCGUGCUGCAUUCACCGCACAGGCUCGCACGUCCCCGUCCCUCGGGAGGGGGGCUCGCCAUACUCUGUGUGCUCAUACUCUUCAGCGCAAAGUGCCGGCGGGUGCGGCGCCCCGCAAGCCCCCUCUGGGGCCGACGCCUCUGCUGCUGGCGCGGGUCCAUGGCUGCACAGACGCAGCCAUCUUGAAUGCGUACCUGUCUCGCUGAUCACACGCACACACACUUUUCCCGGCGCGUACAGCGCGUACAGGAGAGGUGGUGCAGUGCCCUACAGUGCGCCAUCAAUGGCGUGUGGCAGGAGCGUCUCGGGCCUGAGCGCUCCCUAUCAUCAAGCCAGUUCAGCUCCGGUCGCCGGUACCGGUAUGAGAGCCUACCUCGGCGCUUAUCCGGUCGCUCCUCUGGCACCCCGUCCUGGUGAUCCGGCCUACCGUGACGAAAGACGGGACUCGAGGAACGCCUGAAGCUCCUUUCUCCAUUGGCCAGUGGAUGUGUGCCACGGCUGCGUCGUGCACUUCUCUCUUGUGCGUACUGUCACGGCUGUUAUUUUUGCUUUUUCCAAUAUUCUGUUUUUUUUUAUUUUCCCCGCAGGCAUUCUUCACGUGUUGCCGUUGUCAACGUGGGGAGCACCUGCUCCGCCAGCGCUUGAUCGUUGCCUUUCCGUUGCGUUUUUUGAGCCCCUCUCUUCGUGCCUGCGUGUCUGCUUGCCUAUUCUCACCAUUUUGGGCGUGCUGUCGUCGUCGUUCUCUCCAUCCCCUCCUCCUGCGUUUGCUUUGUGUUUCUCGUCGUAUCCUCCUGCCUCCUCGCCUUUUGAUCCGUCACACACCCGUCUUCUCGUAGCAGCAUUCGGGGCGGGGCGGCUCCCCCUUCGCCGGCAGCGUUUCGCUUGCGCUCUCUCACGUGGUCUGUGCGUGUGCGAUACGGCACUCUUUCGCGCGAAAGCCGGCGACUUCCAAAACUUGCCCCGCCCCGUCCCCCUCUCUCUGUGUGUAUGUAUGUGUGCUCUGCUGGGUGUCG
rnacentral:misc_RNA from 1 species